UAUAGGCUCGUUGAAAGAUUGUGAAAAUUUCUUAGCUUGGACCUGAGAUUUCACUCAUAAUGCAAAACAGGGGCAGCAAGUGGAAAAA